UCCCUGUGAUUCAGAUGGUAAAAAAUCUGCCUGCAAUGCAGAAGAACCAGGUUCAAUCCUUGGAUGGGGAG
rnacentral:tRNA from 1 species